GAGCAGAACCAGCUAAAGGAUUCUAAUUAAACAGGGUCCUCUAAGACAUCCCACUUCAAGACCCUAACCAUUACAGAUGAGCUAUAAAGAGGUUUUGAAUGACAGUGGCUAAUUUACACAUAUUCUUGGAGUAAAUAUCAGAUUAAAGUUUGAAUGUGUCAUCCCAUUGCCUUCUGGCCUUCAUAGCUUCAAUGAGGUAUCAGCUGUUAAUCUCAUUGAGACUCCUUGACACAUGAUGAGUCAGUUUUGCUAUUUUCAAGAUGCUCUCUGUCUUUGACAGAGAUACACUCAGAGGAAAAACAAAAAUAAAAAUAAAAACAUGUGAAGACACAGGGAGAAGAUGGCCAUCU